UACGUAGGGGGGCAAGCGUUGUCCGGAAUCAUUGGGCGUAAAGAGCGCGUAGGCGGUCCGGUAAGUCCGCUCUGAAAGUCCGGGGGCUCAACCCCGGGAGGCGGGCGGAUACUGUCGGGCUAGAGUCCGGAAGAGGCGAGUGGAAUUCCUGGUGUAGCGGUGAAAUGCGCAGAUAUCAGGAGGAACACCGGAGGCGAAGGCGGCCACCUGGACGAGCACUGACGCUGAGAAGCGAAAGCGUGGGGAGCAAACAGG
rnacentral:rRNA from 1 species